UAGAAUUCAGAAUAUGAAUAGCCUGAAGAUCACAGUGGUGCACGUCAUGCAUGAUAGAGCCUGAAGAAUUAACAUACUGUCUAGAAUGACUACAAACUACAAAGAACAACCCAGAUACCGGACUCCAGUAGUCCAAGCACAUUGGAUAGUGUGGUAAAGGAUUUAGCUCAUUUUGUAAUUCUCAAUUAUUAGACUGUAAGUGGAUCUGGAAAACCUGUUUCUGAUGUUAAUGAGUCAACAUCUCCUAGUAUAAAUUAAAAAUAAAUUACAUUGUACUGGAAUAAUUUUUCCCUUAUAGCUUAGUGAAUGGGCUUAGGUUUUCACAUUAUGUUAACAAAAUUUUGCAAAAUGUGGACUGACCCAGGUCCAGGGAGACCUCAAGCUUGUUUUUACCUCAGAUUAAGACGGCUUCAUUUUCUUACUGUGAGUACCACAUAUGUCAGGUAAGUCCCAGGAGGUACAGAUUUCAACUUCUGCUGAGGAUGCUGCCAGAGGAGCAAGGCACCUGUGCCAGUGGGCAAAGCCUUCACACAGGGCUUUCUCAGUGAUUCCUAGUCAGCUGUUCAUCAUGAAAAGUCAGCUUUUCUCUGGAACCAUUCCACCUUCCCUAUGUUCUUAUACAUUCUGACUACUUUGAGAUAAUUUUAGUGUAUGAAAUGCUCUCAGUUACUUUUUCUUAAAUUAAUUGCUUAAAUUUUUUUCAUCUGCCAGUUUUGAGAUGUCCUUAGGAAACCUGAAAUGUGCUUCUAAACAUUCUGGAAAAAAAAAGUCUAAGAACAACUCAUAAGACAGUAGGCCCUGAAGUUGCCAUGCUGGAAAAUCAGCCAAGAACAAAAAUCCACGUAGAAUGAGAAGUGCAGCCAUUCUAGCUGUACCUGUGAAGUCCAUUUCCAAGCUGACCUGCUCAGUUGAAUGCAACACAUACGUGAGCUCAGAAUAUUAUGUAGUUACAAGAUCCUUCAAGUUUAAGCUGAACCCUAUUCUUCAGGAAUCUUCUCUUAUACCUGGCGAUGGUUCUGAGCUGCUUCUCUUUGUUUUUGUCUGUGACGCUGCACUAUGACCAUUGGACUUGCAUAUGACUUCCUUGUGGCACCUCAAAUACUUGCUAAGGGGGAUUAGAGAGAAGAUUGAAGCCAGAGAUUCUGAGGACAGAGUAGCUGUUAAAUGUUUUCACUCAUGCUUUUUUUUUUUUUAACCCGGUUUACUAUUAUCUAUUAGUAAGUGAAUUCUUUUCUGGAAAAUUCUACCAAACAUAAUCACAGUAAAUAAAGUUGCAUUAUCUCGUUAAAUUAUCA
rnacentral:lncRNA from 13 species